UUUAUUUUUUUCCUGACUGAACAAUCUGGCUUUCCUCAGCCUCUGCUCAUGACAUUCCGCAACAAAACAAACUGAAACCACUGCUCUAACCAUCAAAGGAAAGAAAAGGGAAGCCACAUUUCACUGGACACUAAUGAGACCUGUGUCUGAUGUGGACCAGGGUUACCAAAGGUAAAUCAUCAGCCCAAAGACACUGUGACACAUUACUUCAACUGAGGAACUGAAAUGGCAAGAGCAGGUGCAAACUAGGUGUGUAUAAGGAACUGAGAAACAAGCUAAACACUAUACACACAAGGGGUUUUGGGUGCUUUCUGGAGGUAUCCACUUCAUUGCCAUUUUUGGGAUCUGACUGUUCUCUAUGUGAAGGACGUGGCCAGCCAGUCAAAGUCUUCUGUGUGCAACAAUGGCAAAGCUAAAGCACUACAUGAUGAAAAGAACCAACCCAACUCCAGCCCGGUAGAGAAGGGUGGUGGUGAAAAGGACAAAACUUGUAGUGUGUUAAGAGUAGGAAAUAGAAACUACAGGAGCUCACAAAGGAACUGAACAGUUCCAAAGUGCUGGGAUGUAUUUCCCUGAGUGGGAUUUAAUUUGGUAGAUUCCUUGGAGUGCUUUGUACUCUCAUAGCACUGUUUGAAUAAAAUAGGAUACUAGAGCUUUCUGUUGAAAAAUGAUCCAUGAGACCAUAGAAUGAAGCGUGUGCCCAGUGCUCCAGGUAACAGAACUACUACAAUUUAAAGAAUAAGGCACAUGUAUAUUUAUCCAAAAUGUUCUGCCUCUUAAAUGUAUUCAGCUGUGUACAUGGGCCUAUUCUUUCUUUGGUGAAAUGAUGAUACUUCUAAAAUGGUGCAAGAACAGAUGCAAGAGCAUUACACAUAAAUGGCCAGAACAGUUACCAUAUAUGUGUUUACAUUAGUAUGGUAGAUGUACUCUCAUCCUCAGACAGCUUUUCCUAGAACAGUUGAUAGCAGUGGGACCAUGUUAAAGAUACCUUCAAGACAGCCAACUAUCAUAAAGAUGUUUUAACUAUUAAGAUAUGCUUUCAUGAGAAAUAAAUACCUACUUGUCACUUUUAUCCUACCUGAGGAUAAUUUCAGAGCGUAGCUGUGCUAUCUAGCGAUCCUACCUGAGGAAUUUCUUUUCCUGUUUAAGACAACAGGUUAAGAGAGAAAAUGCAAACAAGCAAAAACAGCAUCCAAUGUGUUCAACAAAAUAAUUUGUAGUGCUUCACCAUGACCACUGUGAUCAACUGUCUGCUUCCCACAUGUAUUUUGUUCCACCUUGGCUUUCAAACUGGAGCAUUUUUCCUGGGGAAUCCACAUAACAGUAUCCUCCAAUAGCCUACUUUCUGCUGAGCUCUGCUCUGUUCCCUGCCCUUUGAGGUUCAGAGAGUGGCUACAUGGAACAGGGCUUUCUUCUGAAUAGUCCCCUUCUGUGGCACUAUCAUCCUUAAGAGGCUUGCUUCACAACACCUUUUGUUAGGUUUUUUUUUUGAAUGAGAUAAAGGCCAUGUGCUAGUUAAGUGGGAUUUUAAUGUAGUUUAAUCAUUGGUUUGUGUUCAACUCUGUGGCUGGCUAAUGUAGACUAUUAAUGUCCAAUUUACUAUCUGAUUAUGUUUGUGAGACAGGUGCUAGAUGUCAUUUUAAUGUUUAGCCUCUCUGCGGAUCCUUUCUGAUGAAGAAAAUGAAUAAAUAUUGUUAAAUAAAUAAAACCACCAUUCCACACCUAUCAAAGGUUGAUUUUUGGUCUGUAGAUUGGAGCUCUCUUCCAUUUUUU